rnacentral:lncRNA from 1 species
GAAAUAAUUUCAAAAAAUAUAAUGUCAAGUGAAAAUUAUGAACAUGUAAAAAAGGUAUUUUUCUUUUUUUCGAAGAAUUGGGCUCAAGGGAGACCAUAUAUGAAAAUUAAGUCUAAUGGGCUUGCGAACCAUUCUCUCAUAUUCCAACGAAGAACAAAAAAUCUUGGAAAAUAUGAAUUUCAUAUUUUUUUUUUCAUUCUCUAAGUGCACGACCUUCUCUUCCUCUGCAUUUGUGAGCCUUCUUUUCUUUCAAUCAUUUCCUUCUUCCUCCAUUACACCUUCUUCCAUUUGUUAUUAUACACACCUUAUGAUUUUUGUUCUUUAUUUGUUCUUUGCUCUUUCUUUGAUUAUUAUUUAUUCUCCUCU